UACAGAGGGUGCUAGCGUUGUUCGGAAUCAUUGGGCGUAAAGGGCGUGUAGGUGGUUUCGUAAGUCUGGCGUGAAAUAUCUCGGCUUAACCGAGGCAGGUCGUCGGAUACUGCGGGACUAGAGGACGGUAGAGGCGUGUGGAAUUCCGGGUGUAGUGGUGAAAUGCGUAGAGAUCCGGAGGAACACCAGUGGCGAAGGCGACACGCUGGGCCGUACCUGACACUGAUGCGCGACAGCAUGGGGAGCAAACAGG
rnacentral:rRNA from 1 species